rnacentral:rRNA from 1 species
CAGCAGCCGCGGUAAAACCAGCAGCCCAAGUGGUGGUCGCGAUUAUUGGGCCUAAAGCGCUCGUAGCCGGGCCGGUAAGUCCCUUGUGAAAUCGGACGGCCUAACCGUUCGGCGUGCAAGGGAUACUGUCGGUCUUGAGGCCGGGAGACGUCCGAGGUACUCCGGGGGUAGCGGUGAAAUGUUCUGAUCCUCGGGGGACCACCGGUGGCGAAGGCGUUCGACGAGAACGGGCCUGACGGUGAGGGGCGAAGGCUAGGGGAGCAAACGGGAUUAGAUGCCCGCGUAGUCCCUGUCUCUUAUA